rnacentral:rRNA from 1 species
UGGGGAAUAUUGGGCAAUGGGCGCAAGCCUGACCCAGCAACGCCGCGUGAAGGAAGAAGGCUUUCGGGUUGUAAACUUCUUUUCUGAGGGACGAUAGUGACGGUACCUCAGGAAUAAGCCACGGCUAACUACGUGCCAGCAGCCGCGGUAAUACGUAGGUGGCAAGCGUUAUCCGGAUUUACUGGGUGUAAAGGGCGUGUAGGCGGGAUGGUAAGUCAGAUGUGAAAACUAUGGGCUCAACCCAUAGCCUGCAUUUGAAACUAUCGUUCUUGAGUGUUGGAGAGGCAGGCGGAAUUCCGUGUGUAGCGGUGAAAUGCGUAGAUAUACGGAGGAACACCAGCGGCGAAGGCGGCCUGCUGGACAAUAACUGACGCUGAGGCGCGAAAGCGUGGGGAGCAAACAGGAUUAGAUACC